GCCGGGACGGGUAUGUUCGGACUUAAAAUCCGCUGCCCUUCGGGGCGUGCAGGUUCAAAUCCUGCUCCGGGCA
rnacentral:tRNA from 1 species